rnacentral:rRNA from 1 species
GCUCCAAUAGCGUAUAUUAAAGUUGUUGCGGUUAAAAAGUUCGUAGUUGGAUUUCUGUCGGGGACCUCCGGUCCGCACUAUGUGCGUGUAUCUGUAGGGCCUGGCAUCCUUCCGAAAGACGUUGCUAUGCUUAAUUGCACGGUGCGGAGUUCGGAACUUUUACUUUGAGGAAUUAGAGUGUUCACGGCAGGCCAAUGCCA